rnacentral:rRNA from 1 species
CCCUUAGAUGUUCUGGGCCGCACGCGCGCUACACUGACGAAUGCAACGAGCUUAUAACCUUGGCCGAAAGGUCUGGGUAAUCUCCAAAUUUCGUCGUGAUGGGGAUAGAUUAUUGCAAUUAUUAAUCUUCAACGAGGAAUGCCUAGUAAGCGCAAGUCAUCAGCUUGCGUUGAUUACGUCCCUGCCCUUUGUACACACCGCCCGUCGCUCCUACCGAUUGAAUGGUCCGGUGAAGCGUUCGGACCGUGGCCUUUGGACGGUUCGCCGUCUGUUGGCUGCGGGAAGUUCGUUAAACCUUAUCAUUUAGAGAAAGGAGAAGUCGUAACA